rnacentral:rRNA from 1 species
GUAACACGUAGUCAACAUGCCCAGGGGACGUGGAUAACCUCGGGAAACUGAGAAUAAACCGCGAUAGGUCACAAUUUCUGGAAUGGAUUUUGGCUUAAAUCUAUAUGGCCCCUGGAUUGGACUGCGGCCGAUCAGGCUGUUGGUGAGGUAAUGGCCCACCAAACCUGUAACCGGUACGGGCUCUGAGAGGAGGAGCCCGGAGAUGGGCACUGAGACAAGGGCCCAGGCCCUAUGGGGCGCAGCAGGCGCGAAACCUCUGCAAUGGGCGAAAGCCUGACAGGGUUACUCUGAGUGAUUUCCGCUAAGGGGAUCUUUUGACACCUCUAAAAAUGGUGUAGAAUAAGGGGUGGGCAAGUCUGGUGUCAGCCGCCGCGGUAAUACCUGCACCCCGAGUGGUCGGGACGAUUAUUGGGCCUAAAGCAUCCGUAGCCGGUUCUUCAAGUCUUCCGUUAAAUCCAGCCGCUCAACGGAUGGGCUGCGGAAGAUACUAUAGGACU